CUCUGCUCACACCAGAUUGGCGGGACGGCCUCACGUGACCGCAUCUCUUGGACUCUCGAUGUUACCGAAAAGGAGGAAAGGAUUUGGGGCGGGCAGUCCUGGAGCCUCUCGCUGGCCUUACGGAGAGAGAGGGCUGGGGUGGAGGAGAGCCCUGGGGAGCAGGCAGAGUUUGGUGACAAGGAUGGGACACCUUGAGUGAGCCUUUCCACUGGGCAAAUUGGAGGAUGUGUAGCCAUCUUCGGUCAGACAAGAGGCCCUGUUUGCUGAAGUCUUUCUUCAACACUUUGACUCAGACAUUCUCUCUGGGACCCCUGAGCCCAUCUAACCUCCAGUCCGUCCAUCAACUGAUUACUGCUCAGUCACCUCAGUCGAUACCACUGGGAGUGGGAGAACUGCCUAGCUGAGCCCUGCCUGAAUGCCUGACUCAUAACUCAUGGUGUAAGUGAAAGUGAAUACCCAGCCACACCCAGAUAAAGACCUAGACAGAAGCCCAGGGGUCUGUUUCUCCCACCCCUGCCACACCUCCAAAGGCACUUGCUAUCUUUUUUUUUUUUUUUGAGACAGAGUCUCUCUGUCGCCCAGGCUGGAGCGCAGUGGCGUGAUCUCGGCUCACUGCAAGCUCCGCCUCCUGGGUUCACGCCAUUCUCCUGCCUCCGCCUCCCGAGUAGCUGGGACUACAGGCGCCUGCCACCACGCCCGACUAAGUUUUUUGUAUUUUUAAUGGAGACAGGGUUUCACCAUGUUAGCCAGGAUGGUCUUGAUCUCCUGACCUCGUGAUCUGCCCACUUUGGCUUCCCAAAGUGCUGGGAUUACAGGCAUGAGCCACCGCGCCCUGCCAACCUGCUGUCUUGACCUUCAUGAUCCGUAGCACAGUGCACUCCUAAAUAUUGCGUAUGCGUCCCUAAACAACAUACUGUAUCCGUAACAUUUAAAACCUUAUUGAUUGUGAAGUGUGCCAUUAUCUUACUUACCAAUAAGGAAAAAUGAUGCAAUUAAACUGACACUUUUUGAUUAGAAUUUUCAUUUUAUGCUUAUUAAAAAGCAUACUUAUCGCUUGUAACUUACUAACCCAAGCUGAUGCCUCACACAUACACGAAAACAGAUUGAAAAUUCUUAAGCAGCUCAAACUGCCAAAAAGGCCAGCUGUGCAGCUGGACUCAGCCAGACACUCAGCAGUGGCACCAGCAGCUCCUCUGUAUGAGCUAUGAUGAGGCUCUGGAAGUUUGAAGAUGAUGCCACCUAUUGGCUAAUGAGGUCAAAUGGUCUUGACUUUUGUGGUAAUUAUGAUGCUAAGAGUGCCAGCCAUCUGUAAGAAAGCCCAGAAAGAGUGGAGAUGCACUAUGCUAAGAAAUUCUCAAUGGCCAGCACUCUUUUUGCAUAGAGAAUGAUACAGCAAGGGGAGACACAGACACAGACAAUCUGGGUCAAAAGUGAUGCGGAGAAUGUGGAGCCCAAUUAGGAAGAGGUUUUAAGACUACCUGAACCAGAAUAUUUUGCUUAAUUUUUCUUUUUUAAUGCACGCACAAGCAUAAUGUAUAAUAAAAGCUGUGUGCACACACAUCAUAAAUUUUCUUUUUAAUAAGCAUAAAAUGAAAAUUCUAAUCAAGAAAGUGUUUUUUCGUUUAACUGCAUCAUUUUUCAUUAUCUGUGUGUAAGAUUAUUACAUACUUCAUAUUCAAUAGAGUUUAAAUGUGUUAACUAAAAAAAUCAUGAAUCUAUAAAUGUAGGGAGAAGCCUUUAUUUCUUAUAAGGGUUAGAGUCUGUAAGGGGGCCAUUCCUCAGGCUGGGAAGCAUAGCGUCUGGCAAAGCCCACAGGUAUUUUCAAAGAGGAGGGGCUGAGAUAGGAGCUUUGUGCCCAACAGGUUGGCUGAACAUACAUAUUCAACAGCUUACAGGAGGAGCUAUGAAUAAUCAUGAAAACCAUCCUGAUGCAUGCGUAUUGAACCAUAGGUAUGUAACCUAUGACCUAUUCCACCCUGGGUAGGAGACUUAGCAUUUAAAUGUAUUACAAUUAGGCCCUAUAUGUGAAAAGAUCUUUUCAGGACCUGAAGGCAGCCUCUGUAAACCGGCCAGAACCAGUCUGUGGUGGUUGGUCUUCUUAUCUGGGGAAAGUUACUGAAAUCUAUUUCUUAUCCAAUCAAAGCUGUAGUUAUGGCUGAUGAAACAGCAGGCUCAGUUAGUCAUUGUCUAGUGGUGAGUUACAAAUU
rnacentral:lncRNA from 1 species